rnacentral:rRNA from 1 species
GACGUAGGGUGCAAGCGUUGUCCGGAAUUAUUGGGCGUAAAGAGUUCGUAGGCGGUUACUUAAGUCUGGUGUUAAAUACGGGAGCUCAACUCCCGCAUGGCAUUGGAAACUGGGUAGCUAGAGUACGGUAGAGGUCUCGGGAAUUCCAGGUGUAGCGGUGAAAUGCGUAGAUAUCUGGAGGAACACCGGUGGCGAAGGCGGCAUCCUGGACCGGUAUUGACGCUGAUGCGCGAAAGCCAGGGGAGCAAAGCGGG